GACGAACGCUGGCGGCGUGCUUAACACAUGCAAGUCGAACGAAGUGGCGAACGGGUGAGUAACGCGUAAUCAACCUGCCCUUCAGAGGGGGACAACAGUUGGAAACGACUGCUAAUACCGCAUACUGAAGGAGGGGAUUGCGUCUGAUUGGCUAGUUGGAGGGGUAACGGCCCACCAAGGCGAUGAACAGUAGCGGGUCGGAGAGGAUGAACGGCAAAAUGGGAACGAAGACACGGCCAAGACUCCUACGGGAGGAGGCAGGGGGGAAUCUUCGGCAAUGGACGAAAGUCGGACCGAGAAAGGCGGCGGGAGUGAAGAAGGUUUUCGGAUCGAAAGACUCUGUUGUUAGAGAAGCGGUAUCGAACUAGAAAGCCACGGCUAACUACGUGCCAGCAGCCGCGGUAAUAC
rnacentral:rRNA from 1 species